GGAUGUGAGGGUGAUCUGGCUGUGACACAUGUCACCCCAUUGAUCGCCAGGGUUGAUUCAGCUGAUCUGGCUGGCUAGGCGGGUGUCCCCUUCCUCCCUCACUGCUCCAUGUGCAUCCCUCCCAAAGCUGCGCGCUUGGUCGAAGAGGAAGGACUUCCCUGAAUAGAGGAGGACCGGUUUUUGGCCAAGGGUAUAGGAGUAGCUGCGCUCCCCUGCUAGAACCUCCAAACAAGCUCUCAAGAGGUGUGGUAAUUGUUGGCAUUAAUAAAAGUAGCUAACAUUUAUUUGCUACUUUCUGU
rnacentral:snRNA from 1 species